rnacentral:rRNA from 1 species
AUUGAACGCUGGCGGAAUGCUUUACACAUGCAAGUCGAACGGCAGCACGGGGGCAACCCUGGUGGCGAGUGGCGAACGGGUGAGUAAUACAUCGGAACGUGCCCGGUCGUGGGGGAUAACGUAGCGACAGUUACGCUAAUACCGCAUACGAUCUGAGGAUGAAAGCGGGGGACCUUCGGGCCUCGCGCGAUCUGAGCGUCCGGUGUCAGAUUAGGUAGUUGGUGGGGUAAAGGCCUACCAAGCCGACGAUCUGUAGCUGGUCUGAGAGGACGACCAGCCACACUGGGACUGAGACACGGCCCAGACUCCUACGGGAGGCAGCAGUAGGGAAUUUUGGACAAUGGGCGCAAGCCUGAUCCAGCCAUUCCGCGUGCAGGACGAAGGCCUUCGGGUUGUAAAAUGCUUUUGUAUGGAACGAAAAGGCUCUGGCUAAUACCUGGGGCUCAUGACGGUACCGUAAGAAUAAGCACCGGCUAACUACGUG